UACGUAGGGUGCAAGCGUUGUCCGGAUUUAUUGGGCGUAAAGAGCUUGUAGGCGGUUUGUCGCGUCUGCUGUGAAAUUUCGGGGCUCAACCCCGAACUUGCAGUGGGUACGGGCAGACUAGAGUGUGGUAGGGGAGACUGGAAUUCCUGGUGUAGCGGUGAAAUGCGCAGAUAUCAGGAGGAACACCGAUGGCGAAGGCAGGUCUCUGGGCCGCUACUGACGCUGAGACGCGAAAGCGUGGGGAGCGAACAGG
rnacentral:rRNA from 1 species